AUGGUGGCUGAUGCAUGACUGGAAUUGGAGUACAAGAGGAUGACGGAUGUGGUUAAUACUCAGGUGAGGACUCCCUCUGGUGGUCAGAGGAGGACAUGACUCCCCCUGUUACAUCCCCUGGGAGUAAACCCAGCUUGAGUCUAGGGGUGGGGGGGACAAGGAGGGCGAUAGCAAAACUAAAAGGAACACAGUUUAUUAAAAUAAAUGAAAACCUGUGUCCUGAAGUGAGAGAAAAUAAUUAAUGAGCUGGUUAAGAAAGAAGACAAACCGAAACAGAGUUGGAACCUUGGCCAAAAGAAAGAUAUGUCAGGGAGACUUCUGACCCAGCCAUGGCGACUGUCGGAGUCAGCAGCUCCCUGCUAAAGGCAGCCUAACAAAUCUACCUAAAGAAAAAAAAAAAUAAACAAAGCCCAUAAAUCAGAACUACCAAGGCCCAACCCCAAACUAACACAAUAAAACUCAGCAAUCUAAGAUUGCUGAGGACAAAAAAGGAGUAAAAGACAAACCCAAACCAGCACCACACCAAAUGAAACCCAGCCUUCUGCUCUGCCCCCUCCCUGGCUUGGUGUGGCCUCCUCUGUCUUAAACAGACACCGGGUGGCAAUCAAGGGAUAUUGGCCACACCUGCCAGGUGAGCCAAAGGGACUGGUUGAAAAGAAAGUCAGGCAGCAGGAGCAGGACGCAACACCCCCUAGGACUGAGUUUUUUACAGGGUAACCUCAAACGCAGAUCUUGGGCGGAUAGCCAGAUCCACAUUUUCUGGUGUCAAGAUGGGUCCCUUCCGACGCGCUCCGUCCGAUUGUGCUUGAUGUCUGUAGACUGCAUGUCCCUGCCUCCCAAGUCUCCUCACAGUGUUGGAACCAGUCAUUGACAGCGGGUCCUUAGAAACCAUGUGACCACCUGAUUGAGACGUUCAACCUGGAUGAUAACCAGAGGUUUGUGUCGAGCUCUGUCUGACGUGCUUUCACACCGACUGCUGAGAGAGGAUGAAACUCAGAGCACGACCACUUGUCUCAUGAUACAAUGGCAUUGUGGCUGAAACAGGCAGUUCUGGUGUUGCUCACAGUCACAGGAGCAGCCAUGGCGGGAUGUUCACAAGAAAUCAAUCUGAGUUCUCCUGUUGAUCCAUUACGUAAGGAGCGGGUGAAUACUUCUGCUCGCUCUCUGAAGAUCCUCUGCGACAUACCAACUAAAAGUUCCCGCUAUCGAGUGACUUUUUAUUUCAGAGAUUCAAACACCAAGAACAUUUCGCACAAGUGUAGCACAGCGAUUUAUGGAAAUUUAAAUACCUUCACUACAUCACCAAAAAAGAAACAGACGAAUCAAGCAGAUCCCAACAUGAAGUGCUACAAUAAAACAUGGGAAAUACAAAACAUUACCAGAGAAAACAAUGGAUUUUACUCUUGUGAAAUCGAUACAGAGAUUCCUGUGCUAAAUACGACUAAGAGCCGGGAAGUGGAAGUUCUCUUUGUACCAUCGAUAAACAACCCACCUUCAGAAAACAACCCACCUUCAGAAAACAACCCACCUUCAGAAAACAAACCAUCUUUAGAAAAGAUAUCAUCUUCAGAAAACAACCCACUUUCAGAAAAAAAAACGCAGUU